GCCGGGUGCGGUGGCCCAUGCCUGUAAUCCUAGAAACUCAGGAGGCUGAGACGGGAGGAUUGCAAGUUUGAGGCCAGCCUUGGCAACUUAGCAAGACUCUGUAUUAA
rnacentral:sRNA from 1 species